AGAGUUUGAUCAUGGCUCAGGAUAAACGCUGGCGGCGUGCAUUAGACAUGCAAGUCGAACGAACGACCUCGGGCUUGCCCGGGGAAGUUAGUGGCGAACGGCUGAGUAACGCGUAGGUGACCUGCCCUGAAGUGGGGAAUAACUGCCCGAAAGGGUGGCUAAUACCGCAUGGGGUCAUGAGUUCGGUCUCAUGACCAAAGCCUUCGGGCGCUUCUGGAGGGGCCUGCGUUCGAUUAGCUCGUUGGUGAGGUAACGGCUCACCAAGGCGACGAUCGAUAGGUGGUCUGAGAGGAUGAUCACCCAGACUGGGACUGAGACACGGCCCAGACAACUACGGUUGGCAGCAGUCGGGAAUUUUGCUCAAUGGGGGAAACCCUGAAGCAGCAACGCCGCGUGAGGGAUGAAGGCCUUCGGGUUGUAAACCUCUUUUCUCAGGGACGAUAAUGACGGUACCUGAGGAAUAAGCCACGGCUAACUACGUGCCAGCAGCCGCGGUAAUACGUAGGUGGCAAGCGUUGUCCGGAUUUACUGGGCGUAAAGAGCGCGCAGGCGGCCAGGUCAGUCGAAUGUGAAAUCCCCCGGCUCAACUGGGGAGCGUCGUUCGAUACUGCUUGGCUCGAAGGUAGGAGAGGGAAGUGGAAUUUCAGGUGUAGUGGUGAAAUGCGUAGAUAUCUGAAGGAACACCAGUGGCGAAGGCGACUUUCUGGCCUAUUCUUGACGCUGAGGCGCGAAAGCUAGGGGAGCGAACGGGAUUAGAUACCCCGGUAGUCCUAGCCGUAAACGAUGAACACUAGAUGUUGGUGGUAUCAACCCCGCCAGUGUCGCAGCUAACGCAUUAAGUGUUCCGCCUGGGGAGUACGGCCGCAAGGCUAAAACUCAAAGGAAUUGACGG
rnacentral:rRNA from 1 species